UGAAUCAAAGCAAUGGAGGUGACAUGGAAGCCAGAUGUUGUUGAUGAAUUUGUGAUCGGUUUUUGUGGGCAUCGGUGGGCACCGUAUGAACUGGAAGAGUCAAAUACUACUAGUCAACUAGAAGAGUGGUUCGCCUGUAAGAUUCCAUACUCAUCUUCUUGUUCUUCUCCGGUAAUCAAGGUACAUUCCGUUUUCGUCAGUGAAGUUGUUCGGGGUUCGCAACACUCAUGCGUACGGAGGGUCCCGUCUGUAUACUAUAGGCGGCAUAGAUCCCACCUUCGAUUCCAAAAUAGUCGAUCCCUUAGAUUACAAUAUUUAUAAACUCUGGACCCUAAAGCUUGAUAGCGGUAGCGAUGGUGGUUGGAAGCCUCUUCCUCCCAUGAAUUUUCCUCAUAGACGCUCCUCUUGCUCCAUCGUCCUCGACGGUAAGUUAUAUGUGUUUGAUGGUUUAUCGUCUGAGUUUUCUGAAAAUUGUGGCAUCUCAGAUACAUGGGAGUCCUUGCCCAGUCCUCCUCUUCCUCUUCCUGUUCCUCCUUUUUCUGUUCGCAUGUAUGCCGCUCUUGAAUCUAAACAACAGAUUGUUGUAGCUUUACUUUGUGAUCCCAAAUUGAAGACAUUAUUUACUUACAACAUCAGCAAUCGAUGUUGGACAAAACUUGCGCAUCACUUCGAUGUACAACCUGAGUAUCCUUUAUCAUUUUAUAGAAGUCCUGUAGCUGUUGGUAAUACUCUCUAUUGGGGUUCUGUUCGCUUCGAUAGAGGCUAUGAUGAUAUCCGUAUACAUGCACAUGCUUACGAUUUAGAUAGGGAUAAGUGGCUCCACGGCUCUUUCAACAUUUUUUGCCGUGGCGUCAAGAGCCCAAUUCUUCUUGAGGAUGAACUUCUGGUAGAUAAAGCCCAUACACCACCUUUGCUCCAUUUAGCUGAUCAGAAAUUCUGCAUUUUCCUCCACUCUACCAACCGCAAACACACUUUCCACCACAAUAAGGAAGGCAUUAAGCAUGAUUAUCUCAAUUGUCUCAUACUUGAAAUUUCUCUACCAAUAUUCGAUCAUGACAAGGAUAAGGACAAUAGUACGGACCUCGACCAUUCCUCGAUAUUGUGUAUUUCCAUUGUGUCCAUCCAUAAGUUUCCCUUCCAUGACAAUCUAAGCUUCCACGAUAGCUUGUUGCUGGAUCAAACAAAAGUUGUCAAAUGAAGCAAGCGUAACCAUCAAAGACAAUUAUUGUAGUAGGUUGCUUCCUUGAAGGUUAUGCAUCAACAAACAGAUACCAAGACAAAGUUUGCUGAGUAGAAGCUUCUUGAGGAACUAUAAUAGUAAUGGCAAUGGAGAAUUAUAGCUGUUGCUUAAAUUUGAUCAGAAAUUCUGCAUUUUCCUCCACUCUGCCAAGCGCAAACGCACUUUCCACCACAAUAAGAUCGAAUAAGGAAGGCAAUAAGCAUGAUUAUCAUAAUUGUCUCAUACUUGAAAUUUCUCCACCAAUAUUCGAUCAUGACAAGGACAAGGACAAUAGUACUGACCUCGACCAUUCCUCGAUAUUGUGUAUAUCCUUUUGUGUCCAUCCGUAAGUUUCCCUUCGGUGGCAAACUAAGCUUCUACGAGAGCUUGUUGCUGUAAGUUUUCUACUCUCUCUCUCUCUCUCUCUCUUUCCUUUUCCAUGCUUGCAUAAAUUUAUCUGCUGUCUAGGCUAGCAUUAACAACAAAACACCAGGCAUUUAUUUUGACAUCUUCACUAACAAUUGAUCUUACAAAGCCUAUAUAUCAUGCACCACCUCUAAUCGGAACCAUUAUCAAUUCCACCCCCUACCCCACUUUAAUCUUGCUCUAAACAUGCAUUAAUACUCCUUCUAUCUGAUUUUCACCUUUGAAUACCAUUACUGUUACUCAUUUAUGCAUGAGCAGGGAUCAAACAAAAGUUGUCAAAUGAAGCAAGCGUAACCAUCAAAGAUAAUUAUUGUAGUAGGUUGCUUCCUUGAAGGUUAUGCAUCAAGAAACAGGUCCACUCUGUUCCAUGUUUUUACACAUGCAAUUUGCAGAUUUUACACUCUCAAAUAUUCCUAGAGGAACAUUAUUUAUUUAUUUGAAGAUUGGUGGAAAGUGUUUGAACUUGUGAAUAGUUUUGUUUAGUACACUGGUGCCACUAGCUAUUGAUGGCUGUGUCUCAAUCCUUUAUUUCCAAGAAGCAUAUCUUAAAGAGAAACUCUACUUACUUAGCUAACUGGACACGCGUAAUUAGAUCAUUAGUCUGCACAUUAUGCA